rnacentral:rRNA from 1 species
UACGAAGGGGGCUAGCGUUGCUCGGAAUCACUGGGCGUAAAGGGUGCGUAGGCGGGUCUUUAAGUCAGGGGUGAAAUCCUGGAGCUCAACUCCAGAACUGCCUUUGAUACUGAAGAUCUUGAGUCCGGGAGAGGUGAGUGGAACUGCGAGUGUAGAGGUGAAAUUCGUAGAUAUUCGCAAGAACACCAGUGGCGAAGGCGGCUCACUGGGCCGGUACUGACGCUGAGGUGCGAAAGCGUGGGGAGCAAACAGGG